AUUGAACGCUAGCGGGAUGCCUUACACAUGCAAGUCGAACGGAGUGGCCAACGGGUGAGUAAUUUAUCGGAACGUGCCCAGUCGAGGGGGAUGACUACGCGAAAGCGUAGCUAAUACCUACUACUCUUGAUGCGGCCGAUAUAGGAUUAGCUAGUGGGUGGGGUAACGGCUCACCAAGGCGACGAUCCGUAGCUGGUUUGAGAGGACGACCAGCCACACUGGGACUGAGACACGGCCCAGACUCCUACGGGAGGCAGCAGUGGGGAAUUUUGGACAAUGGGGGAAACCCUGAUCCAGCCAUCCCGCGUGUGUGAUGAAGGCCUUCGGGUUGUAAAGCACUUUUGGCAGGAAAGCGGUACCUGCAGAAUAAGCACCGGCUAACUACGUGCCAGCAGCCGCGGUAAUAC
rnacentral:rRNA from 1 species